rnacentral:lncRNA from 1 species
UACUAUGCACUGUCAGUGUAAAAAGUUAUACACGGUUGAUUCAUGAUAGAAUUAGGUAAAGAGAGAGAAUGAAAAGAAACUCUCAUUGUAUUAUAUGAUGAACAGUAAUACAAGAGGCUACUAUAUAUAGCCAUGUAAUCCAAAACAGAAAAGGUGUUGAGCCGCAUAACAAGCUAACAGCACACCACUAACAAAGCUGACAGCUCAGCAAAACAGAAUAGAAAAAUAAAAAUGAAGGGCAUAUUAGUAAACUACUCUAUUAGUCCCCUUAGAAGCUGAUGGCAGACUGGUCAAGUAGCCUUAUCAUACACACGCAACUUGAACGAAGAGGAACAAACUUCGGCAGCAGAAGGGGCUUAUGUGAGAAUGUCAGCCCAUUGAUCUUGAGCUAGGUACAUGAAAAACAGUCAGACUUUUGCUGAGUACUUUCUCUCGCCAGAAAGAAAAUAUCAACUCCAUAUGCUUAGUCCUGUUGUGAAGAAUAGGAUUGUGAGCCAAAGUACAGUGCUCAAGUUAUCACACAAGAUCUUGGAACUUAGAGGAAUAAUGAGUUCCUUAAGCAAGGACUGAAUCCAAAUGAGUUCAGCAGCUAGCUGAGCCAUACUGCGUAUUCCGCCUCAGCACUGGACCUUGCAACAAGCUGUUGCUUUUUGACCACCAGGAAACACUUAGGCCCAAGAUAUUGCAGCCCUGAAGUAGAUCUCCGGUCAUCAGGGUCUGAUGCCCAGUCUGCAUCACAGAACCCUAGCAACUGCAUUGGUUGCUGAAUAGGAGCAGGCUGAAGAGAAGACCAUGCGUGCAGAGUACCACUUAGGUACCUUAAGAUUCUUUUAACAGCCCUUUCCAAUUGAUCCUCUAAAGGACUUGGACAAAAACUGACAGACUUUGUUGAUUGAAAAAGAAUCUCUGGCCUAGUUAAGGUAGCAUAUUGAAGGGCACCAACCACAGACCGAAACUGAGUAGGGUCAUCAACCGCAGCAGACCCAACCUUGGAAAUUUGCUGCUAGAGAUCAUGGGAGUAGGCAUGCCAUUGGCAUUCAACAUAUAGCCUUGAAAGCAAAUCUGUGACUGUACUUGGUCUGAGAUAAGAGAAGAACCAUUAGGGAGAUGAGUCACUUGAAUCCCUAGAAAAUAAUCAAGGUGUCCCAGCUGUUUGAGAGAGAAAGAAUUAUUGAUAAUGCUUGAUCAAGGAAGCUAUAAAGGAGCAGACUACCCGUGAUGAUUAUAUCAUCUACAUAGACCAGAAUUAGAAUCUGAAGUUUACCUUGAUGCAACAAAAACAGCUAGAUCACAUCUACUAGCCUUAACCGAUUGAACCAAGGCAACACUUUGCUUAUCAAACCAGGCCCUAGGAGCCUGUUUUAAACCAUAAAUAGCCUUAUUUAACUUGCAAAAAGAGUGCUGUCAGCCAACUUCAAAGCCAGGGGGGCUGUUGCUAAGACUUCUUCUUCAAGAGUGCAUUGAGGAAGCAUUGUUAACCAUCAAUCUGCUGCAAUGGCACCUGUUUGUAACAGCAAUAGAAAGAACAUUCUCACAGUGACAGUUUAAUGACAGGAAGAAAUCUCUUGAAAUCAUUACCCAGCCUUUUUGAUGGAACCCUUAGCCACUAAUCUGGCUUUAUACCUGUUAUGAACCAUCAGGAUUCUUCCUUAGUCCUGAACACCCACUUACAUCCAAUAGCUUCCCUUCCAGCAGGCUUCACCAAAGUCCAGUCGAUUUCUCGCAGUGCCUGAUGUUCUUCCUUCAUGGCCUGAAACCAGUUAGGAGCACCAAAGGCUUGUUCACAGAUGUAGUUCAAGGUGGGCUGUUAAUAGAGUAGAGGUGAUCUAGGAAGGUGAUUCUCUUUUGGCUCUAGUUGCAUAGGGGAAUGUUUUGAGGGUUGGAAUGAAGGAAAGCUGUGCAGCAGGUGGGAAAUAGAUAGGCCAGGGAGGGACAACUGAAGGAGGAUAUAAGAGGAGGGAAAGAGUGCUACUUCACUGGAUCAGAGGAAUGAGGCAGGAGAGAAGAGAAGAGGAAUGGGAAUGCAGUGAGUUGAGGGAUAGGUUGCUACCAGGAAGAAUAAGAGUAGUGUAGAGGGCGCAGGAAGAAGGAAGAAGAUGAGGAAUAUAGAAUAGUGGGACUGCUAAGUUGAGAAAAGAGAUUUGAGGAAGAAAGAAGAUAAGAAACAGAUUAGAGUAGAGGAGUAGAGGGAACAGGAGGAAAACUGAGAGAGGAAGGAGAGGAUGGACUAGGUUAGGAGAGAGACAGAUUUUGAAGAAGAAAUCAAGGUGAAUAAGGAAAAUUGCCUUCAUUAAAAACAACAUCCUUGGAAUAAAAAUCGACCAUAUGAAGCAAGGCUUUAUACCUUUGUGAGAGGUAGAUAUCCAAGAAAAUGCACAUUGAGAUCUAAAGUCAAGUUUAUGAGAAUUAUAGGGACGAAGGAAAGGAUACAAGCACAGCCAAAGCUUUAAGUAGUUAGAUCCGGGUUUUUGUGAAGUAAUUUAAAAUAGGUGAGACAUUGUCAAUUAGUGAGAAGUCUGUUAAUGAGAUAUGCAGCUGUGCAAUGCAUAUCCCAGGAAUUUUAAGGAAGGGGACUGAGCAAGGAGUGGAGGCAGUCUCAACAAUGUGCCUGUGCUACGUUCAAAAGGCCAUUUGGUGAUGUGUAUAUGGGACAGUGAAUCAUGUGAACAAUCCCUAAAUCUGUGAGAUAUUUGGUAAGAGGCCUAAACUCACCUCCCCAUCAGUUUGAACACAUUUAAUGGGACAAUUGAACUGAAGUUCAACCAUUUUUUUAAACUGAAGAAACUGAACCAUGGUGUCAGACUAAGUUUUAGAGGAAAAACCCAAACAACCUAGAGAGGCAUCAAUACAGGUUAGAAAUAUGUAUAACCACUGGAAGAUUGCAUAGGGCAGACCCCAGAGAUCAACAUACAACCAGCUCAAAAGGAUGAGAGUAAACUGUGGUAGUAAAAGAAAGAAGGAAGUCUAUGAGACUUGCCAUGCAGCAAGCAUGACAUAACUCAGCAGGGGGUUUAGAUGGAAAGGGACUAAUUACACAUUUGAACGAUUUCAGUGAGGGCAUGAUGAUUGGGUGUCCCAGCCUAGUAUGCCAAAGCACAUAUUUCUUGGAUGCCAAUACGAAUUUGCAGCAUUAAAGUGUGAGGAAGGUAAACAGUACUGACAGAGUUUAGAGAAGGAUUGAAAAAAGGUACUUGUAACAUUAUAAUUGCAAGAUUCAUUACAAGAAGACAAAGAUUAGUAUUGAUUUGCAACCGAUUCAGUACACUGAGAUAUAGAAUCUGUAACAUCUGUCCUAAGGAACCAUUACAAUUGUAUGCUGCAGGAUAACUAUGACCUAGAACUGUAAGAGGAAGAAGACCUUGACAACGGAGGAGCACUGGAUUGGAGAAUUUAUAGAGGCCAUCAGCACCAACAAGACACUGAGUAAGACUUCAGAAGUAGCCUGAGAUUUGACACACAAAACUUAGGAUGAAAUUCAAAAAAAUACAGAAUUAUCUUGAGCAAUUUGCUCACACUCAUAAGGUUUUGUGAUGUGAGGGACAUGUAAGAGAUUGUUAAGAGUGAGAGAUAGAUGAGGUUGUGAGUAAGGAAAAGACAAAACCUACAGAGUUGAUGGACAAACACUUGGCCGUUACCUAUGAAACUUGUUCAGUUCCAGGCACGGAGGCAGAGUCAGACACAUUAGAGGCAUCAGGAGUAACAUGAUGAAAGCUCCUGAGUCAGGAUACCACCACUGGUUUGCACUGCUAGCUUCAGUACCUGCCAUAAAAGGCUUGUGGUGCAGAAGAUCUGGAGGUGCAGCUCUGGGAGAAGCAUAAGCAAGCGGCACAGGAUAAAACGCACGAGGAGCCACCGUGAAAAGAUUGAAGGAGCUCGAUGAUGUGGAAACUAGCACCACUGGAAUUGGCAUAACGAUAGUAGCAUACAGAAGCAUCAUGACCAGGUUUGUGACAAAUCUGACACGUGAUUUCCCAAAACGACCUCCUCCACGACCAAAACGACCACCACCGCGACCAGAACGACCACCACGUGCACCAUAGGAAUGUUUUCGCAUUAGCGGUGACGUGACUCGUUCCUUGAGGAAACGCCUCGGAGACGACUUGAUCAGAAGCGCCUGGAGUAGGAGAAGGUGUUGCUUGAGUGAGAUUGACCGUCGCCCGUCGCAGGUUCUGUAAUCGCAGCUUUGCGAUGCUUCUCCAAUCGCGACUCAUGAGCAAGCAAGGAAGACUCCAACUCUUCCAAGGAGCUAACGUCAUCUUUGCUGUUGACGGCGGCGACAAUAAGAUCAUAAUCUCAGUAACGAAUCGAGAACAAUCUCAAUUAGGUUACGAAGAGGAACGGAUCACCGAUGAGUUAGCGACUCACUGAUGUCACGAGAACGCGUCAUAAGCUCAGUAAUCGUUAGUGAACCCUUCGUAAGACGCCGGAGUUCUGAAGCAAGUUGACGAGCCUUGUGAGAGAAGAACAUCAAAGUAGCGAUGAACUUCUGUCCACACCUGCCACGCAUGCUUGCAUCACGAGCUUAGGAAGGAGAGCAUCGGAGAUAGUAAGAGAAGCCCAGGUGCAGAUGAGAGCAUCCUGCUGGUCCCACUCAAGAACGCACUGUGAGAUGUAGGAUCUGAGGAGACGGUGACGGAAUCACCGGAACCGUGACAAAGCGUUGAAGACGAUGACCACGGACGACGCCAUCAAUCUGCUGCUUCCACUGUUUGAAGUUCUUGUCGUCAAGCUUAACAGAAUAGGUGAGAAAGUUUCACCUGAGAGAGAAGGAAUAAAGAUUCCUGGAUCGAAAAAAAUUUAAGCUCUGUAUACCAUGAUAGAAUUAGGUAAAGAGAGAGAAUGAAAGAAACUCUCAUUGUAUUAUAUGAUGAACAGUAAUAAAGAGGCUACUAUCUAUAGCCAUGUAAUCCAAAACAGAAAAGGUGUGAGGCGCAUAACAAGCUAACAGCACACCACUAACAAAGCUGACAGCUCAGCAAAACAGAAUAGAAAAAUAAAAUGAAGGGCAUAUUAGUAAACUACUCUAUUAAUUCAUCACCAUCACCUGUUUGCAUUAUUUUAUAGGUUUUUAAAAUAAAAGUCAAACUUGUUCCAAUAUCCAACGUCUAUGAUUAAAUGACUGUGUAAAAUCCUUUUACACUGUCGGUGUAUUUCAAUUAAAUUCU